AUCCUUCCUUUUAGCCUUGCUGCUUGCAUCCCACUUAAUUUUUAAUAUCUUUCCUUGGUUUUGUCUUUUUUCCUGAAGUUCUUCUGCAGAGUAGCAUUGCCCUGCAAGACCAGUUUGCCGGUGCCCAGGUCCUACAUAAAGACAACUUGAGAUGUUAUGUGUGCGUCUUGUAAGUUUGGGAAGGGUCUCAUGUCUACGUCAUAUUUUUUUUCUUGUCUGGAACUCUUCUAAAUAAGUUAAUGAAAAAUAAAUCAAGUUGUGUGUUGAUCAUCCCUUUGGUUACCUUACCAGGUCAAUAACCAGCUGCUGGCCUUCCGUGUGAAGUGCCAGGUCCUUUGGUGCCUGACAUUGAGAGUAAGCCUGGGGCUGCUCACUUCAGCUCUGCCCCUUGUCUCAACUGCUCAGGUUUUUCCCCUCUUUAUGAUUUCCAGUUUCUUCUCUGUUUUGGACUCUGACAAUGCCUAGGUCAUCGGUGUCUGAAAGCAGAAGAUAUGAGGGGCUGUCCAAACUGAAGCCAGAUUCCCUGAGAAUUCAAUAUCCAACGUCGGAUUCACUUCUGACAGGUUGGCAUGGACUGCAGUGAACGAGCACCGUGUCUCCAUAUGAGAGUGCUGGGUGUGCAUCUUCGCUCUUAGUCUGGGGCAACCCUCGAAACAAAAAGGUUUUUGGGCUUCCAGACCCAGCCACAGCUCUGAGAAACUAAAAUGGUGCAGUACCCAGCAAUCAACACUGACAAUCUGUAGCUGUGCAUCAAGCUGCUGCCCAGCAGAGCCCGGCGGUGGUGGUGACGGUGUGAGAAGCAGGAGGGAGAGGAAGGGAUGCUGAGGAGUGGGGUGGUCGCAGCGUGGUCAGGAGAGGUGGCCAAGUCCAACAGGGGAUCUUUGCUAACACAGUGGCAUAGCCGUGUGCUCAUCCCCAGGUCUGCUCAUCUUGCACACUGGAUUAGCAGAGGCACGCUAAAAGCAGCAGACUCAGGCCUUCGCUGGAGCCCUGGGAACGGCUCUCCAGCACACACGAGAAAGGAAACACCGAGCAGAGGGAGGACCUCAGCCCUUUAUAUUCAUAAGGAAAAGCCUGUUGCAGAGACAGACAUGGAAGACAAAGUUUAUUUACAGCCCAGCAAUGAAAGUGAAUUUCAAGGAGACAUAUUUUGUGGCUGUUUUACUGAAACUAUAAGGACUUAGGUACGCUCGCUUGUUAUGUCACUCCAGAAUUUUGUAAUGCAGCUCAGAGUUCCUACUUCACCCUUUUCCUCUACCCACUCCUGCUUGGCAGCUUGAUCAUCUGAGCGUUCAUUCUGGAGCCCUGACAGAUUUCUGAACAAAACAGCAAUCUCGCUGCGCUGCGAUUUCCACAAUGUUCCCUUAUGUUCCUGUGCACCUGCACCCCCAGAGACGGAACAUCUCAUAUCCCUUUAUGCGGAAAUGGCUACUUCUGAGUUAAACUAUUGCUAGGGUGGAAGAAGAAAGCCCAUCAAACCGUCGUGUUUAUUGAAGCAUUCAGUGAACUUAGAGUGCAUGUUAAUUGUAUGUACCAUAAAACUGAAAUACUGCAAUAACUUUAUUGGAACCGGAUGCUUUAAAGUCAUUUAAGCCUAAACACAUUUAAUUCAUGACAGAGUUCCCAGUUUCUGGGUCCUGAGAAUCCUACUGGUGUUAGUACUGGGGAAAGAAGAAUCACAAAGAUGACAUUACGAGAACUUUAAUGGCUUUUCAUCCCUUUCACAAACAAAGGAGCAGCCUUAUACAUGUGUGGAAAUUUGAUGAUGGAGUGGCUUUAAAAGCAGGGUUGGAAAGGAAAGACUUUCAAGAAGGGCAACGCAUCAUCUUGUCCUGUGUCUGCUGAGCCUCUUAUACUUCAGGUCUUGGGUCCAGGUCCUGUGUUCUGACCAUGCUCUGCUUCCAGAAAAUAGCUGCAUGAAUUCUCUUCUCUGAUGGUGUGGAGGAAGAACAACCCAAGUCAAAAUCUGGGGACUAAUUCUGGCAUUGACGACGUGGCAAUAAAAGUAUUUCCUUCUGGGUUAUGAACA
rnacentral:lncRNA from 1 species